UACGUAGGGUGCGAGCGUUGUCCGGAAUUAUUGGGCGUAAAGAGCUCGUAGGCGGCCUGUCGCGUCGGAUGUGAAAGCCCGGGGCUUAACCCCGGGUCUGCAUUCGAUACGGGCAGGCUAGAGUGUGGUAGGGGAGAUCGGAAUUCCUGGUGUAGCGGUGAAAUGCGCAGAUAUCAGGAGGAACACCGGUGGCGAAGGCGGGUCUCUGGGCAACAACUGACGCUGAGGAGCGAAAGCGUGGGGAUCAAACAGG
rnacentral:rRNA from 1 species